AUCGAACGCUGGCGGCAUGCCUAACACAUGCAAGUCGAGCGGAGAGGCGGACGGGGGAUUACUGCCUAGGAAUCUGCCUGGUGGUGGGGGAUCCCGUCCGGAGACGGGCGCUAAUACCGCAUACUAUCAGAUGAGCCUAGGUGGGAUUAGCUAGUUGGUGGGGUAAAGGCUUACCAAGGCGACGAUCCGUAACUGGCCUGAGAGGAUGAUCAGUCACACUGGGACUGAGACACGGUCCAGACUCCUACGGGAGGCAGCAGUGGGGAAUAUUGGGCAAUGGGCGAAAGCCUGAUCGAGCCAUGCCGCGUGUGUGAAGAAGGUCUUCGGAUUGUAAAGCACUUUAAGUAGGGAGGCGUUACCUACAGAAUAAGCACCGGCUAACUACGUGCCAGCCGCCGCGGUAAUAC
rnacentral:rRNA from 1 species